GACGAACGCUGGCGGCGUGCUUAACACAUGCAAGUCGAACGGAAAGGCCCUGCUUUUGUGGGGUGCUCGAGUGGCGAACGGGUGAGUAACACGUGAGUAACCUGCCCUUGACUUUGGGAUAACUUCAGGAAACUGGGGCUAAUACCGGAUAGGAGCUCCUGCUGCAUGGUGGGGGUUGGAAAGUUUCGGCGGUUGGGGAUGGACUCGCGGCUUAUCAGCUUGUUGGUGGGGUAGUGGCUUACCAAGGCUUUGACGGGUAGCCGGCCUGAGAGGGUGACCGGCCACAUUGGGACUGAGAUACGGCCCAGACACCGACGGGAGGGAGAAGUGGGGAAUAUUGAACAAUGGGCGGAAGCCUGAUGCAGCAACGCCGCGUGCGGGAUGACGGUCUUAGGGUUGUAAACCGAUUUCGCCUGUGACGAAGCGUGAGUGACGGUAAUGGGUAAAGAAGCACCGGCUAACUACGUGC
rnacentral:rRNA from 1 species